GGCUUUAUAGUCAAAAAUGAUACCAAAUUGCAAGUUUGGUGGUGGGUUUAUUCCUAAGGCUU
rnacentral:tRNA from 1 species